AUUGAACGCUGGCGGCAGGCCUAACACAUGCAAGUCGAACGAGUGGCGGACGGGUGAGUAAUGGCUGGGAAACUGCCUGAUGGAGGGGGAUAACUACUGGAAACGGUAGCUAAUACCGCAUACCAUCAGAUGUGCCCAGAUGGGAUUAGCUAGUUGGUGGGGUAACGGCCCACCAAGGCGACGAUCCCUAGCGGGUCGGAGAGGAUGACCAGCCACACUGGAACUGAGACACGGUCCAGACUCCUACGGGGGGCAGCAGUGGGGAAUAUUGCACAAGUGGCGCAAGCCUGAUGCAGCCCUGCCGCGUGUAUGAAGAAGGCCUUCGGGUUGUAAAUUACUUUCAGCGGGGAGGCGUUACCCGCAGAAGAAGCACCGGCUAACUCCGUGCCAGCAGCCGCGGUAUAC
rnacentral:rRNA from 1 species